UACGUAGGUGGCAAGCGUUGUCCGGAAUCAUUGGGCGUAAAGAGCGUGUAGGCGGCCAGCUAAGUCCGCUGUGAAAUCUCGAGGCUCAACUUCGAGCUGUCGGUGGAAACUGUCUGGCUAGAGUCCGGAAGAGGAGAAUGGAAUUCCUGGUGUAGCGGUGAAAUGCGCAGAUAUCAGGAAGAACACCCGUGGCGAAGGCGGUUCUCUGGGACGGUACUGACGCUGAGACGCGAAAGCGUGGGGAGCGAACAGG
rnacentral:rRNA from 1 species